rnacentral:rRNA from 1 species
UACGGAGGGUGCAAGCGUUGUCCGGAAUUACUGGGCGUAAAGCGCGCGUAGGCGGCUUUGUAAGUUAGAGGUGAAAGCCCGGAGCUCAACUCCGGAACUGCCUUUAAGACUGCAUCGCUAGAAUUGUGGAGAGGUAAGUGGAAUUCCGAGUGUAGAGGUGAAAUUCGUAGAUAUUCGGAAGAACACCAGUGGCGAAGGCGACUUACUGGACACAUAUUGACGCUGAGGUGCGAAAGCGUGGGGAGCAAACAGG